GCCUUCGCGGUGUAGUGGCCAGUACGCUCGACUCAUAACCGAGAGAUCCGUGGUUCGGUUCCCCGCGAAGGCG
rfam:Stegodyphus mimosarum contig122567, whole genome shotgun sequence.